UACGAAGGUGGCAAGCGUUACUCGGAAUUACUAGGCGUAAAGGGCAGGUAGGUGGUUUGGUUAGUCUGUUGUGAAAGCUCCUUGCUCAACGAGGAGAGGUCAACAGAUACUGCCAGACUUGAGUAUGGGAGAGGGUACUGGAAUUCCUGGUGUAGCGGUGAAAUGCGCAGAGAUCAGGAGGAACACCGGUGGCGAAGGCGGGAUCCUGGGCCAGUACUGACGCUGAGGAGCGAAAGCGUGGGGAGCAAACAGG
rnacentral:rRNA from 1 species